rnacentral:misc_RNA from 1 species
CUCUGUAGCCACAGGUCCUGGAGCAACACUAUUAGCAGUUAUUCCUGUCCCCUUCAGCUCCUUGGCUAGUAUCUUUGUCAUUGUCUCCACUGCUGCCUUGGAGGCAGCAUAAGCUGCAUAUCCUGGAAGAUUUGAUCCAACGAUAGAUGUUGUUAUUGUUAUGAUUCUUCCACCAACUUCCCGAGCCAACCUAUUAGCUGCCUCGCGACAACACAGGAAUGCACCCUUGGCGUUGACAUUGAAAGUCAUAUCCCAGUCCUCCACUGUUG